rnacentral:rRNA from 1 species
UACGUAGGGUGCAAGCGUUGUCCGGAAUUAUUGGGCGUAAAGAGCUCGUAGGCGGUCUGUCACGUCGGCUGUGAAAUCCCGAGGCUCAACCUCGGGUCUGCAGUCGAUACGGGCAAACUAGAGUAUUGCAGGGGAGACUGGAAUUCCUGGUGUAGCGGUGAAAUGCGCAGAUAUCAGGAGGAACACCGGUGGCGAAGGCGGGUCUCUGGGCAUUACCUGACGCUGAGGAGCGAAAGUGUGGGGAGCGAACAGG